AGGUACUAGGAGAAGUAGUCCAAAACAAGCAAUAAGAAAGACUCAUGGAUAGAAAAGGGUUGGUACGUGUGUAUCAUGAUUGGUUAUUGUGAGGGUGAAUACAUGGGUGAAUCUAUAAAAAGAGCUAAUGGUGUUCACAUUUCUGAAGCGGUGCAUCACCUUUCCUCUACAUGAGCUAUACUAUGGAAUAUCUGCAAUUGCAAGGUUCUGUUUGUUAGUUCAUAUUGUGUGCAGAAACCCUGUAAGUGGCUUGUGCAACUCCUAAUGGAUCUGUAUUAUUUGUACAGAAAUCAUGUUCUUCAUCGUGAUGUCAAUGUCAGUUGCAAAAUCUUCAUACUGUGCAUAGUGAUUGAUAUAUUAAGUUGUUAUAUAUUGGCUUGAGAUACUCUUGAAUUGUCUGUACUGAUACUGCUUUGUGAUAGGUGUAGAAUACACCAUUAAUUAUUAUUUAUUAGUUAUGCUUUCUUUGCUAUUUUUCUUGUAAAUUAUAUAUUUUACGCGUGUUUUGAGUUUCAUAGCUACUUUGGAGUCACACUAAAGAAAAGAAGAAGAAAUCAUCCAAAAUUGGGAAGAAGGGCCAAAGACCAAUUUCAACUCAUUAAAAUCCAGGAUUUCUUAUGACCAUCUUGAAGAGAAUUCAAAUACAAAAAGAACGCAAAAAGAAUGAGGACAUUCCGAGUUCGUAUGAAUAAAUUAUGAGCAAAAUGGUGAAACCAAUUUGAAUUAGGUUUCUGUUGGGCCUUAUUGGGCUUGCGCGAAAAGAGAAUGGAGGGAUGCGUUUUGGGCUUGCUAUUGGCGUGAAAAUUAGGAUUUUUGGUGGAUUUGAGGAGGUUAAGUAUCCUAAUUGGAUAGGGAUUAACAGGAUUACAAGGAAAUUGAAGCCAAUAAAUAGAGAAGUUCUACACUUUUUUCAUAUACACUUCUAUAAUUACUUCUUCUACUUUUUGUUCUAGGGUUUAGACAUGAAAUCUUUUCUCUUUAUUCUUGUUAUGAACUCCAUGAACAUGAGCUAAAUUUUAUUAUUGGUUAAAGAUGUAGUUGGAUUUUGAAAACAAGUUAUGAAUUUUACGAAUUAGUUUUCUCUCAA